rnacentral:rRNA from 1 species
CAGUCGCCGCGGGAAUACGUAGGUGGCAAGCGUUGUCCGGAAUUAUUGGGCGUAAAGAGUGCGUAGGUGGUCUACUAAGCGCGAGGUGAAAGGCAAUGGCUCAACCAUUGUUAGCCUUGCGAACUGGCAGACUUGAGUGCAAGAGAGGAAAGCGGAAUUCCUAGUGUAGCGGUGAAAUGCGCAGAUAUUAGGAGGAACACCGGCGGCGAAGGCGGCUUUCUGGAUUGUAACUGACACUGAGGCACGAAAGCGUGGGUAGCAAACAGGAUUAGAUACCCCUGUAGUCCCUGUCUCUUAUACA